UCAGUUCGAGCACACUAAAACGUUUGGUGGAUCAGUCCGUAAAUGAUCCGGAAAACUCACAAACUCAGAUACAGAGUCUGGAACGCGAGAUUCACGAAAAGCAAAGACAAAUGAGAGCCUUGGAACAGCUCAUAAUUGAGAGUGGUGAAGCUUCAAUUGCCAACGCAUCAUUAGUUGAGAUGCAACAGAAAGUUAUGAGUCUGAUGACGCAGUGCAAUGAAAAGAGCUUUGAGCUGGAGAUCAAAUCAGCUGAUAAUUGCAUUCUUCAAGAACAACUACAGAAAAAGGUCGGUAGCAUUUUUUCUCGUAU